UACGUAGGGUGCAAGCGUUGUCCGGAAUUAUUGGGCGUAAAGAGCUCGUAGGCGGUUUGUCGCGUCUGCUGUGAAAACUCGGGGCUUAACCCCGGGCCUGCAGUUGGUACGGGCAGACUAGAGUGCGGUAGGGGAGACUGGAAUUCCUGGUGUAGCGGUGAAAUGCGCAGAUAUCAGGAGGAACACCGGUGGCGAAGGCGGGUCUCUGGGCCGUAACUGACGCUGAGGAGCGAAAGCGUGGGGAGCGAACAGG
rnacentral:rRNA from 1 species